CACCAUACUACGUCCCUGAACGCAUCCAAUCUCAUCUGAUCUCAGAAGCUAUGCUGAGUGGGGCUCAGUUAGUACUUGGACAGGAGAAUCAGCUUAUAGUGC
rnacentral:rRNA from 1 species